GACGAACGCUGGCGGCGUGCUUAACACAUGCAAGUCGAACGGAAAGGCCCUGCUUUUGUGGGGUGCUCGAGUGGCGAACGGGUGAGUAACACGUGAGUAACCUGCCCUUGACUUUGGGAUAACUUCAGGAAACUGGGGCUAAUACCGGAUAGGAGCUCCUGCUGCAUGGUGGGGGUUGGAAAGUUUCGGCGGUUGGGGAUGGACUCGCGGCUUAUCAGCUUGUUGGUGGGGUAGUGGCUUACCAAGGCUUUGACGGGUAGCCGGCCUGAGAGGGUGACCGGCCACAUUGGGACUGAGAUACGGCGCAGACUACUACGGGAGGCAGCAGUGGGGAAUAUUGCACAAUGGGCGGAGGCCUGAUGCAGCAGCGCUGCGUGCGGGAUGACGGCCUUCGGGGUGUAGUCCGCUGUCGCCUGUGACGAAGCGUGAGUGACGGUAAUGGGUAAAGAAGCACCAGCUAACUACGUG
rnacentral:rRNA from 1 species